UUUAACUCCACUAAAAUACUCUACAGUAGGUCUUUACUAGUUCUGUUCGCUGUACAGUUUAAACACUGAGUUCUAUAUUACCCGCGGUGAGUUAAAUUACUGCAGAGAGCUGCUGAGAGUUUAGGAGAGCUACUCCACAAGAUGGCAACAUAGACACAAAUUACAUGGACAGACGAAAUUAGUGCUUCAGGGCACUGACUCCGGUGGAAGUUGUUUGGUGUUAAUAUGGCAUCCAUCCUGAUCUUCGUCCUUUUGGUCUUCUUCCCAGUCUUUUCUCCUACAGAAAAAAGUCCUCUCAGGACUUUCCAUCUCAUUGAGAAGAAUAUGACUCAGUCUGAAGCUCGAGCAGCUUGUAGAGAGAACUACACUGAUCUGGUCACUGUGUGCAGUGAAGAAGAGAACGCUGCACUGAUUAAUCUGAUCAACAGUAAGGCCUGGAUUGGUCUUCAGCGCAGUAAUAACAGUUCUAAAUGGUCUAAUGGUGAUGAAGUUACAUUCAGUAAUAAUGUGACUGUGACUGGAAGCUGUGGGACGAAGCCCUGCUGUGCUGCUAUGAAGACUGAUAGACCAUGG